rnacentral:lncRNA from 1 species
CCUCUGAUGUUGCUGGAUUGGUCCUCAUCGGUGUAGAUUGCCCAUUAGUUAUCCCUAAUGUGCUUGGCGGAGAAGUAGCUUCCGUACCCGCAACGGUCGGAGGACCCGAUGGAGCCGUAACCGAUGACACCCCUGGCUGAUGAUAGGCCGGGCCCAUGUAUAAUGGUGGCGCCUGUCCUUCUUUAAAAGUUUGUUGGCAGUCAUUAUAGACCAAUCAUAAACUGCCAACUUGAUCCAAAAGGAGAAGAAGCAAUCAUAUUAUAUACACAC